UGAAACUGAGGAUCUUGAGGGCAGGAGAGGAAAGUGGAAUUCCUGGUGUAGCGGUGAAAUGCGUAGAAAUCAGGAGGAACACCGGUGGCGAAGGCGACUGCCUGGACUGUCCCUGACGCUG
rnacentral:rRNA from 1 species